UACGUAGGUGGCAAGCGUUGUCCGGAAUUAUUGGGCGUAAAGAGCGUGUAGGCGGCCAAGCAGGUCCGCUGUGAAAACUCGAGGCUCAACCUCGAGACGUCGGUGGAAACCGUUUGGCUAGAGUCCGGAAGAGGAGAGUGGAAUUCCCGGUGUAGCGGUGAAAUGCGCAGAUAUCGGGAAGAACACCCGUGGCGAAGGCGGCUCUCUGGGACGGUACUGACGCUGAGACGCGAAAGCGUGGGGAGCGAACAGG
rnacentral:rRNA from 1 species